UACGGGGGGGGCAAGCGUUGUUCGGAAUUACUGGGCGUAAAGGGCUCGUAGGCGGCCAACUAAGUCGGACGUGAAAUCCCCAGGCUCAACCUGGGAACUGCGUCCGAUACUGGAUGGCUUGAAUCCGGGAGAGGGAUGCAGAAUUCCAGGUGUAGCAGUGAAAUGCGUAGAUAUCGUGAGGAAGACCAGUGGCGAAGGCGGGUCUCUGGACAGUUCCUGACACUGAGGCACGAAGGCCAGGGGAGCAAACGGG
rnacentral:rRNA from 1 species